UACGUAGGCAGCGAGCGUUGUUCGGAGUUACUGGGCGUAAAGGGUGUGUAGGCGGUUGUUUAAGUUUGGUGUGAAAUCUCCCGGCUCAACUGGGAGGGUGCGCCGAAUACUGAAUGACUAGAGUGCGGGAGAGGUGAGUGGAAUUCCGGGUGUAGCGGUGGAAUGCGUAGAGAUCCGGAAGAACACCGGUGGCGAAGGCGGCCUGCUGGGCAGUAGCCGAAAGGCUUGAAAGCUGACGCUGAGGCGCGACAGCGUGGGGAGCAAACAGG
rnacentral:rRNA from 1 species